rnacentral:rRNA from 1 species
GAAAGAAUAUCGGAGACGGAUGGGCAUGCGGCGCAUUAGCUAGUUGGCGGGGUAACGGCCCACCAAGGCGACGAUGCGUAGGGGUUCUGAGAGGGAGGUCCCCCACACUGGUACUGAGACACGGACCAGACUCCUACGGGAGGCAGCAGUGAGGAAUAUUGGUCAAUGGGCGAGAGCCUGAACCAGCCAAGUCGCGUGAGGGAGUACUGCCCUAUGGGUUGUAAACCUCUUUUGUCGGGGAGCAGAAGCCGGACGUGUCCGGCUGUGAGAGUACCCGAAGAAAAAGCAUCGGCUAACUCCGUGCCAGCAGCCGCGGUAAUACGGAGGAUGCGAGCGUUAUCCGGAUUUAUUGGGUUUAAAGGGUGCGCAGGCGGAUUUUUAAGUCAGCGGUCAAAUCGUGGGGCUCAACCCCAUCCAGCCGUUGAAACUGGGGAUCUAGAGUGUGCGAGAGGUAUGCGGAAUGCGUGGUGUAGCGGUGAAAUGCAUAGAUAUCACGCAGAACCCCGAUUGCGAAGGCAGCAUACCGGUGCACAACUGACGCUCAGGCACGAAAGCGUGGGUAUCGAACAGGAUUAGAUACCCUGGUAGUCCACGCAGUAAACGAUGAAUGCUACCUGUUUGGCCAGAUUGAAGGCUGA